rnacentral:rRNA from 1 species
UACGUAGGGUGCAAGCGUUGUCCGGAAUUAUUGGGCGUAAAGAGCUCGUAGGCGGUUUGUCGCGUCUGCUGUGAAAUCCGGAGGCUCAACCUCCGGCCUGCAGUGGGUACGGGCAGACUAGAGUGCGGUAGGGGAGAUUGGAAUUCCUGGUGUAGCGGUGGAAUGCGCAGAUAUCUGGAGGAACACCGGUGGCGAAGGCGACAUCCUGGACCAACACUGACGCUGAGGAGCGAAAGCCAGGGGAGCAAACGGG